rnacentral:rRNA from 1 species
GACGAACGCUGGCGGCGUGCUUAACACAUGCAAGUCGAACGAAGUGGCGAACGGGUGAGUAACGCGUAAUCAACCUGCCCUUCAGAGGGGGACAACAGUUGGAAACGACUGCUAAUACCGCAUACUGAAGGAGGGGAUUGCGUCUGAUUAGCUAGUGGGAGGGGUAACGGCCCACCAAGGCAAUGAUCAGUAGGCGGUCUGAGAGGAGGAAAGGCCACAGUGGGACUGAGACACGGCCCAGACUCCUACGGGAGGCAGCAGUGGAGAAUCUACGGCAAGGGACGAAAGGCUGACCGGGCAACGCCGCGUGAGUGAAGAAGGUUUUCGGAUCGUAAAACUCUGUUGUUAGAGAAGCGGUAUCUAACCAGAAAGCAACGGCUAACUACGUGCCAGCAGCCGCGGUAAUAC